UGGCGGACGGGUGAGUAACGCGUGGGUAACCUGCCCUGUACAGGGGGAUAACAGCUGGAAACGGCUGCCAAUACCGCAUAAGCGCACGAGGAGACAUCUCCUUGUGUGAAAAACUCCGGUGGUACAGGAUGGGCCCGCGUCUGAUUAGCUGGUUGGCAGGGUAACGGCCUACCAAGGCAACGAUCAGUAGCCGGUCUGAGAGGAUGAACGGCCACAUUGGAACUGAGACACGGUCCAAACUCCUACGGGAGGCAGCAUG
rnacentral:rRNA from 1 species